GACGAACGCUGGCGGCGUGCUUAACACAUGCAAGUCGAACGGAAAGGCCCUGCUUGCAGGCUCCUCGAUUGGCGAACGGGUGAGUCACACGUUGGGUAUCUGCCCUGCACUUCGGGAUAAGCCUGGGUAACUGGGUCUGUUACCGGAUCGAAGCCAUUUCUAGUUUGAUGGUUGGAAAGUUUUUUCGGUUUAGUAGUAGCUCGCGGCCUAUCAGCUUGUUGGUGGGGUAAGGGCCUACAAAGGCUGCGCCGGGUAACCGGACCGGGAGGGUGGACAGCCUCAGUGAGACUGAGACACGGACCAGACUCCUACGGGAGGGAGAAGUGGGGAUGAUUGAAAAAUGGGCGCAAGCCUGAUGCAGAGCCGGCGAGGGGGGGAGGACGGUCAAGGGGUUAUAGUUGUCAUUCGCUAGGGCCGAAGCUGUUUGUGACGGUACCUAGAUAAGAAGCACCGGCUAACUCCGUG
rnacentral:rRNA from 1 species